ensembl:lncRNA
UUUGAAUAUAGAUGUUUAAUAAACACAGUUUAAUAAAUAACAUGAAUCCAAAAUAAUCUUGUACAAUGUACCAUGACCAAAAGAAUGCUUUGACUUCUCAAAUGGUCUUUCUCCAUAAGAUGAAACAGUUGAAUCAAUCUUUAGAAUGAAUCCAGGAAGAGCUUGGCUGGGCUAGAUUGGCAGUGCUGUUCUAACCAGAAGCUAGGAAUUUCAUUGAAACUCCUUUCCCUAUACACUUUUAGAAUUCUGUUUUGCCAGUGAAAUGAACUCACAUGAGACUUGGAAAAAGGAAGAAAGUGGAGGCCAAUAUUUUUUGCAGGUCAAGGCACUCAGACAUGAAGAUGCUAAGGUACCUGGCUUAUCUCCCGGCUUUGUCUCAGUCUCCUCCAUUCUGCAUCCAGCUCAUCCUCUUGACUACUGGCCCUCCUCAACAACUGGGGACACAAUAGGGUACUUGGCAUCAAGUUUACUGAGACCAUCGCUUCUUUGCCAGUCUUUGUCACACACCUAUUUUGGCAAACAGACAUGGAGGGCUUCUCAGGUUUUCCAACUGUUCAGCAGCACUAGUACAUUAAGUGAAAAUAUUUAGGACUCUUCCUCUUAUCCCCUGGCACCUGGUUUCCAGACUGUCUCUUCCUACUUUGUCAUACACCCGUGUACACUUGAAUUCAGUAUUAAACCCCUUAUUUCCAUCAUCCUUGUCUUGGCUGUUUUCCUUAUUGAAUUCAAACCAAAUCCUAGGUCAACCACCACCACCACUCAGCCCCAUUUUUAUUAUCACCACUCUACCCUAUUAUUUUUUAAAAGACAGUUCUAAUGAGGUGGAUGAAACUGGAGCCUAUUAUACAGAGUGAAGUAAGCCAGAAAGAAAAACACCAAUACAGUAUACUAACACAUAUAUAUGGAAUUUAGAAAGAUGGUAACAAUGACCCUGUAUACGAGACAGAAAAAGAGACACUGAUGUAUAGAACAGUCUUUUGGACUCUGUGGGAGAGGGAGAGGGUGAGAUGAUUUGGGAGAAUGGCAUUGAAAUAUGUGUAAUAUCAUAUAUGAAACGAGUCACCAGUCCAGGUUCGAUGCACAAUACUGGAUGCUUGGGGCUGGUGCACUGGGACGACCCAGAGGGAUGGUAUGGGGAGGGAGGAGGGAGGGGGGUUCAGGAUGGGGAACACAUGUAUGCCUGUGGCGGAUUCAUUUCGAUGUAUGGCAGAACCAAUACAAUAUUGUAAAGUUUAAAAAGAAAAUAAAAUUAAAAAAUAAAAAAAUAAAAGACAAAGGGGUCCAAACAGA